rnacentral:rRNA from 1 species
CCUAGCAGCCAUAUCACCCUGCAGGCCAAGACUGGUUGCCCACUGAAGCUAAGCAGGGUUGAGCCUGGUCAGUACCUGGAUGGGAGACCUCCUGGGAAAACUAGGUUGCUGCUGGAA